CCACGCCUUGCCCAGGGUGAGCACGCCGCAGAGCUGGCAACGCUGCGCAGCCACCGCGAGCCCGACGCCGCCCGACCCAGCCCGUCCUACGCGCGCGACGGCCCCUGACGGCACCCCGCGCGGCACGCUGGGAGUUGUAGUCCGCGCCGCGCAGCCCCGCCGGGCCACAGAGGACCCCGGGGCCGUGAGGAGGAAGGUGGGCUCUGCCUGGACCCCGACCCCCAAUCCCUGGGCGUCCGGACGUGGGGGAGAGCACCCCCAUCGCACCGUUGGCGGAGAAUCUGGAGUCUGCGCCCGGACCCGAGCAGAGUUCAGCAGAGGCCCGGCGCCACACCUAGAAGAACGCUAAAAAGGCUGUUUCAGGCAGAGGCUUAGCAAAUAACAGAAGCUCGAUAAAUACUUGUUGAAUGAAUGACAGGGAGAAUGAAGAGGAGGCUUGACCUUGUCCACACAUGGAUCCAUAGGGGGCUUUCCUGGUGGCGCAGUGGUUGAGAAUCUGCCUGCCAAUGCAGGGGACACGGGUUCGAGCCCUGGUCUGGGAAGAUCCAACAUGCCGCGGAGCAACUAGUUCCGUGAGCCACAACUACUGAGCCUGUGCGUCUGGAGCCUGUGCUCCGCAACAAGAGAGGCCGCGACAGUGAGAGGCCCGCACACCGCGAUGAAGAGUGGCCCCCGCUCGCCGCUACUGAAGAAAGCCCUUGCACAGAAACGAAGACCCAACACAGCCAAAAAUUAAAUAAAUAAAUAAAUAAAUAAAUAAAAGAUUACUUAAAAAAAAACAAACAAACCACAAUUAGAAAUAAAAUGGGGGGAAAAAAACAAGAAGCACCCAAGGUCCCGAAUUCGUCAGAUGAACUGCUCCCAGCCUAGCGUGCUCUUUCCCUCCACCCUCAUCUUCACCUUGACAGUUCCUACCUAUCUUAUGGUCUCUUGUAGCAACCCGUACCUUUUUGUGGCAUUCGACAUGAUUGUAUCGUGAUGUUUAGUGCAUGUGAUUGUUAAUGUCUCUUGUCUAGACCCGCACUGUCUAGUACAACAGCCAAUCAUGGCAGCCACUGAGCCUUGAAAUGUGACAAGUUCCAAUUGAGAUGUGCUGUACAUGUAAAACGCACACUGGAUUUCGAAGACGGUAUGAAGAGAAUAAUGUGAAAUCUCAAUAAUUUAAAAAUAUUGAUUACAUGUUGAAAUGACAUUUUAGUAUACUGGAUUAAACAAAAUAUCUUAUUGAAAUUAA